rnacentral:lncRNA from 1 species
UGCUCUUUUCCACCGCAACGAUAAUAUAUAGUUUAUGAACUAUUUGCUUUUGGAUUCUCAUCGUAUCGUGCUUGUGGCAAAGUGACCAACUUCAGGUUGUCAUAUCUCUCCUAUAAGCCAUUCCACAAGAUAGGUGGAUCUUUGACUGUGAUAUAUUCAAUUUUCAAACCUUCAUCAAGGUGAUGGCGCAAGUAAAUCAAGGCCU